rnacentral:rRNA from 1 species
CCUACGGGAGGCAGCAGUGGGGAAUAUUGGGCAAUGGGCGCAAGCCUGACCCAGCAACGCCGCGUGAAGGAAGAAGGCUUUCGGGUUGUAAACUUCUUUUCACAGGGAAGAGUAGAAGACGGUACCCUUCGAAUAAGCCACGGCUAACUACGUGCCAGCAGCCGCGGUAAUACGUAGGUUGCAAGCGUUGUCCGGAUUUACUGGGUGUAAAGGGCGUGUAGCCGGGUUGGCAAGUCAGAUGUGAAAUCCUGCGGCUUAACCGCUGAACUGCAUUUGAAACUGUGGUUCUUGAGUACUGGAGAGGCAGACGGAAUUCCGUGUGUAGCGGUGAAAUGCGUAGAUAUUAGGAGGAACACCAGUGGCGAAGGCGGACUGCUGGACAGUAACUGACGGUGAGGCGCGAAAGCGUGGGGAGCAAACAGGAUUAGAUACCCUUGUAGUC